rnacentral:rRNA from 1 species
AGUAGGAUAGGCGAAGCGUGCUGUUGGAGUGCACGUCCAAGCAGUAAGGCUGAGUGUUAGGCAAAUCCGGCACUCAUAAGGCUGAGCUGUGAUGGGGAGAGGAAAUUGUUUCCUCGAGUCGCUGAUUUCACACUGCCGAGAAAAGCCUCUAGAUAGAUAACAGGUGCCCGUACCGCAAACCGACACAGGUAGUCAAGAUGAGAAUUCUAAGGUGAGCGAGCGAACUCUCGUUAAGGAACUCGG